AUACUGUUACAGGAAUGGUUCUCCAAGAAGCUUUUAAUUAUUUACUAAAGGAUUUAUCAUUGAUUUUCUAGAUUCUUUCAAGGACUGGAUAUGAUGCCGGAGUGGAUUGGUGGGCAUUUGUAGUUAUGCUUUACAAAAUGGCAACCAGAAGAUAUCCAUUCAGCCAGAAUUCCAUUCAGAAGCUGAUCCAUUCAGUCAUGUAUGAGCAGCCUCCUUUUCCAGUGAAUCUCAGCAGCGAUUUCAAAGAACUGCUGCAGGAGAGAAGAAUCCCAACAAGCGCCUGGGCACGACAGGAGACAUAAGGCAGCACCGAUUUUAUCAAUCUGUUGACUGGACAGCGCUGGAGAAUAUGAAGAUCUCACCCCCUGCCAAGCCAAGAGCAACAAUGGAGCCCCAUGAACUGCAUCGAAUCAACUCCACAUGGGGGCCUGGACCAAAUCCACAGAACUUGAACAACAUAUUGGGCCUGACAUUACAGUGGGAACCAGUAGCAAUUAGUCCAUUAAGACUAAGAAACCGACUUACACAACUAAUUCCAGGCACAUCUGCAAGCCUAACUAUCCUGAUUAUCCUAAUACUAAAAACAAAAAUAAAUAAUAACAAAAAAUGACUUGUUACAUCUUGUCUGUUUUUAUUUCUCUACUUUAUAUUUAUCUGCUUUCAGUCAUUAACCACAUAUUCUUUGUUUUUUGUGCUAUAAAAAUGUAAUGCAUGGUACUCUCAUGCCUAUUUCGUGUGACUUUUCUGGAUUGUCAUUUUAUCUAUGUGAAAUGCUGUCACGGAUGCUUACUGAUAUUUGUUGUUCAAAAUACUGAAAAUAAAGUGUUUCAAAAAAA